rnacentral:rRNA from 1 species
UACGUAGGGGGCAAGCGUUGUCCGGAUUUAUUGGGCGUAAAGAGCGUGUAGGCGGCUAGGUAGGUGGGUUGUGAAAACUGGAGGCUCAACCUUCAGACGUCGACCCAAACCCCCUGGCUAGAGUCCGGAAGAGGAGAGUGGAAUUCCUGGUGUAGCGGUGAAAUGCGUAGAGAUCGGGAGGAACACCAGAGGCGAAGGCGGCGACCUGGACAGGCACUGACACUCAACUACGAAAGCGUGGGGAGCAAACAGG